rnacentral:misc_RNA from 1 species
AAGUCGUAACAAGGUUUCCGUAGGUGAACCUGCGGAAGGAUCAUUAACACUCCUGCUCUUGUAACCCGCGUAGUUCGCAAUCUCUGAUAAAUCAUAGCCCGGAAAGUUGUAGUGAUUCAGAGACCUCUGGCUACGUGCGAACAUUGGAACAGUUACAAUCGAGCGGUAGUUCUAUAGGCAAUGUUUCCCCAAGCAGUCAGUGUCGGAAAGUGUCAUUGAUUGUGCAAGGAUAACAAUGGAUAUCCUGGUUCUC